rnacentral:rRNA from 1 species
CGGGGUGCACCAGGCGCGAAAACUCUACAAUGCAGGCAACUGCGAUAGGGGAACAUCGAGUGAUCCUCAUAUUGGGGGUCUGUCCACUCGCCUAAAAAGCGGGUGUUAGCAAGGGCCGGGCAAGACCGGUGCCAGCCGCCGCGGUAAUACCGGCGGCUCGAGUGGUGGCCGAUAUUAUUGAGUCUAAAGGGUCCGUAGCCGGCUUUGCAAGUCUCUCGGGAAAUCCAGCGGCUUAACCGUUGGUCGUCCGGGGGGUACUACAUUGCUUGGGACUGGGAGAGGUAGGAGGUACUCAGGGGGUAGGAGUGAAAUCCUGUAAUCCUUUGGGGACCACCGGUGGCGAAGGCGUCCUACCAGAACAGGUCCGACGGUGAGGGACGAAAGCUAGGGGCACGAACCGGAUUAGAUACCCGGGUAGUCCUAGCCGUAAACGAUGCUCGCUAGGUGUCACAACAGUCGUGAACUGUUGUGGUGCCGUAGGGAAGCCGUGAAGCGAGCCACUUGGGAAGUACGACCGCAAGGUUAAACUUAAAGGAAUUGGCGGGGGAGCACAAGGGCGAAUCGCG